rnacentral:rRNA from 1 species
GCCUGCAUGAAGUUGGAAUCGCUAGUAAUCGCGGAUCAGCAUGCCGCGGUGAAUACGUUCCCGGGCCUUGUACACACCGCCCGUCACACCAUGAGAGUCGGGAACACCCGAAGUCCGUAGCCUGACCGCAAGGGGGGCGCGGCCGAAGGUGGGUUCGAUAAUUGGGGUGAAGUCGUAACAAGGUAUC